CUUCCAGAUGGGUGAAGGUUUAUAAACAUCUCUGCCACAAGAUAAAUUCCCACUGGGUAAUGGAUGGGAUAAGGGAGUGAGUCAGUCACUGGGUCUGACUGGGAGGUUAGACGUGGGCUCUAGCCCCAAAGCUGAGCAGCAAGAAGGGACUUCUGUCCAUCCAGUUGUUCCUUCUUGCUGUCCAAAACAACGUCGCCUGUUGGGACUCAUAGAAACAUAGAAUGGUUUGAGAUGGGAGGGACCCUUAAAGGCCAUCUGGUCCCACUCCCUGCAGCACACAGGGACACCCACAGCUCCAUCAGUGUUCAGAGCCCCAUCCAGCCAGACCUUGAAUGGAGAAUCCACCACUUCUCUGGGCAACCUGUGCCUGUGCCUUGCCACCCUUGUCGUAAAAAAACCUUUCUCCUUAUAUCCAGCCUAAAUUUCCCCUCUUUUGGUUGGAAACCAUUUCGCCUUGUCCUGUCACAACACACCCAGAUGGUCGCUGCCUUGUGCUACGACCUCCUGAGCUGUGCCUGGGAGGUGUCCAUGAAACGGUCCACUGGUCCAGUCCAAAAUGGAGCCAAAAACAUCCUAAAAAUGAAACCCUUUGGGCGGAGAGCUCUCAUGCUUUGGAACGAUUCCAGCACAGAUACAUUCUACGAGUGACUUUACAGAAGAAUCCACAACCCUUUCUGUAUCAACCGAUACCCUCCUUGAAGCUAUUUUGGAAGCACAUCCAAGCCUUCAGGGCUACAUUAUCACGUCCAGCUUUGCAAAUAUGUAAGCUCACAUAAAGCACCAUCACGGGUGUUUCACACUCAAAGUAAGAACCUGUUCAAGAUGUCCGUGCAGUUUCUCAAUGAAUAGCCCAGCACCUUUUUGGAUGAAAUACUCGCCUGGAUCUCCUUGGAGCCAACGCUGCUAGUCAGGCUGUCAGUGUCACACAUGUAUUUAAUUGCUUUGCUGGGCUGAGGCCCUGCAGAAUCAGCGCGAAGAAUGCGAAGGGAACAACGGCACUUCGCGCUUAAUGUGGGGGGAUUUUGAGUGUUAUUAAUUAUUUUUCGUUUUGCUGGUUAGCAUGGAGAGACAGAGGGCUGAAACACAUCCAGGCAGAAAUCAGCCACAGUUAUUAGUGCCUCAAGUCUUUGUCUUGUAGGCUUCAAGCUGGUUAAAACAACAGAAAAGGAAAAAAGAAAAGCAAGACAUUUUUCAGAUGGAGGCCCCCAAGCUCCAUCAGCUGCAGGUUUGGAGCACCAAAAAUUGCAGAAUCAGUACCGUUGGAAAAGACCACUAAAAGAUCAUCUAGUCCAACCAUCAGCUCAUCGCCACCUUGCCCACCUAACAAAUAUCAGCCAUUUUCUCCUCCUCCUUAACUGAAGAGACAACAGAGGUUGGGCCAUUUCAUCUGGGGUGAGGUGGGAGACCCAUUCCAGCAGAACGUCACCAGUACGCAGCCUGACCCUGUACUGAAAUUCAAUACCAUACACAGAUUUUCUCAGAAAUGUUAAUUCUUGACCGUAAGAACAGCCGUGGAUGAGGCUCGUUACUGGUGAGACACCAAUGUGUUUCUCAUCAGUUCAUAUUCCUGUCACAUUUAACAACCGUCUAAAGCUAAACCUUCUGUGUUUUUGUCCCAGAUCUUUUGUGAGUGAAUCAGCCUCAUUACUGCCAAGCUGGAUGCCAGGACUUGGGCAGGUGAGAGAAGCCACAAGCCCAACACACUGCCCUUAAAAAAUACAUCCCAGCAGCCCUCUGGAAGUCUUGCUCAACCAGCUCUGCAUGCCUAAAUCACCCCAAGCAUCCUCCUUCACCCUCUGCUAACACGGCAGAUGCUUUUGGAUGCCUUCCCAGUCAAUUCUCAGAAGGUUGGAAAUCUCUGUUUCCCACAUUGUCCCCCCC
ensembl:lncRNA